UCUGGAAACUNUCUGACUUGAGUGCAGAAGGGGAGAGUGGAAUUCCAUGUGUAGCGGUGAAAUGCGUAGAUAUAUGGAGGAACACCAGUGGCGAAAGCGGCUCUCUGNUCUGUCACUGACGCUGAGGCUCGAAAGCGUGGGUAGCGAACAGGAUUAGAUACCCUGGUAGUCCACGCCGUAAACGAUGAGUGCUAGGUGUUAGGCCCUUUCCGGGGCUUAGUGCCGGAGCUAACGCAAUAAGCACUCCGCCUGGGGAGUACGACCGCAAGGUUGAAACUCAAAGGAAUUGACGGGGGCCCGCACAAGCGGUGGAGCAUGUGGUUUAAUUCGAAGCAACGCGAAGAACCUUACCAGGUCUUGACAUCCCGAUGCUAUUCUUAGAGAUAGGAAGUUACUUCGGUACAUCGGAGACAGGUGGUGCAUGGUUGUCGUCAGCUCGUGUCGUGAGAUGUUGGGUUAAGUCCCGCAACGAGCGCAACCCUUAUUGUUAGUUGCCAUCAUUAAGUUGGGCACUCUAGCGAGACUGCCGGUAAUAAACCGGAGGAAGGUGGGGAUGACGUCAAAUCAUCAUGCCCCUUAUGACCUGGGCUACACACGUGCUACAAUGGUCGGUACAACGAGUUGCGAGCCGGUGACGGCAAGCUAAUCUCUGAAAGCCGAUCUCAGUUCGGAUUGGAGGCUGCAACUCGCCUCCAUGAAGUCGGAAUCGCUAGUAAUCGCGGAUCAGCACGCCGCGGUGAAUACGUUCCCGGGCCUUGUACACACCGCCCGUCACACCACGAGAGUUUGUAACACCCGAAGUCGGUGAGGUAACCUUUUAGGG
rnacentral:rRNA from 1 species